UUUUUUUUGAGCUACUUCAAUUCUGCUUUACUUAUAGAGCAUAGUACCUUAUUUGAUGCAGGCACAUUUUGCAGGAUGAUUCUAUGCCAUUGUCUUUUAUAGGUCACAGUUGAUACCAAAGUUCUUCAGAGACUUUGAGAAUGUCCUUGCUUCACUUCUUCUGCCUUCUGUGUGAAUACUUGCCUUGUGUUGAGUUCUUGAUGAAGCAAUGUAGACUCAAGAAAAAGAAAAUGACUUGUGAAAGUUCACAGAUUUAGAACAAGAAGUCAGGUCUCUUAGCAACAGGAUUCAAAGUCUCCUUGCAGAAGAGGUGGUUGAAGAGACUGGUUCUGGUAUGGAAGACAAGACGUCUGACAUCUAUUCUGAUCAGGAAGAAUGGCAGUUAUCAGUCCAUUUUUUUGGCCUAUUAAGUUUUGAUCUAGCAGCUGCCCAGGUAUAAUUGGUUUGACAACCAUUGAGCAACAUACAUUUUACGUCAGGAUCAGCAUGGAGCAGCUUCUGCUUUUUCAGAUUGGCACAAGAAAUUAAAUGGGAAUUUGUGGAGUUUUAUGAAAGAUACAGAGGACAUAUGAAAGCCAGCAGAUGAUAGAGAACUUAUGACCAAAUACCAAACCCACAUCUUACAAUAAUGUAUUGUAUAUACUAUACAAAAGAAAAAGAAA
rnacentral:lncRNA from 1 species